GGGCGCAUGGUGUAGUUGGUUAUCACAUCCGCUUAGCACACAGCAGUGUACGUUUGCGGGGGGUGCUGGGUUCAAUUCCCAGUGCGUCCA